rnacentral:tRNA from 1 species
CAAGGAAUAGUUUAAGUAGAAUAUCAGCUUUGGGUGUUGAUGGUGGGGCGGCUGUCCUUUCCUUGA